AGAAGUUAUCUGUGUUUCUUCA
rnacentral:miRNA from 15 species